CUACGGGAGGCAGCAGUGGGGAAUUUUGGACAAUGGGCGCAAGCCUGAUCCAGCAAUGCCGCGUGAGUGAAGAAGGCCUUCGGGUUGUAAAGCUCUUUUGUCAGGGAAGAAACGGUUGGGGCUAAUAUCCUCGGCUAAUGA
rnacentral:rRNA from 1 species